AUGCACGCUGGCGGCGUGCCUCAUACAUGCAAGUCGCGCGAACAGACGAGGAGCUUGCUCCUCUGACGUUAGCGGCGGACGGGUGAGUAACACGUGGAUAACCUACCUAUAAGACUGGGAUAACUUCGGGAAACCGGAGCUAAUACCGGAUAAUAUAUUGAACCGCAUGGUUCAAUAGUGAAAGACGGUUUUGCUGUCACUUAUAGAUGGAUCCGCGCCGCAUUAGCUAGUUGGUAAGGUAACGGCUUACCAAGGCAACGAUGCGUAGCCGACCUGAGAGGGUGAUCGGCCACACUGGAACUGAGACACGGUCCAGACUCCUACGGGAGGCAGCAGUAGGGAAUCUUCCGCAAUGGGCGAAAGCCUGACGGAGCAACGCCGCGUGAGUGAUGAAGGUCUUCGGAUCGUAAAACUCUGUUAUUAGGGAAGAACAAAUGUGUAAGUAACUAUGCACGUCUUGACGGUACCUAAUCAGAAAGCCACGGCUAACUACGU
rnacentral:rRNA from 1 species